AUGCUCCCCGCCAUGAUGAUAAAGGACUGAACCUCUGAAACUCUAUCAAAGGGCCUGACAGCAGAUCCUGGGACCAUCACCCUGGAGACAGCCCUGGGGGCCGUAGGGGGGUAAAUGAAGAGGAACUGUUCAACAGAUGGAUGCUCCUGUAAGCCCAUCAAGAGACUUUGAUUUGGACUUUAAAAAAAUAUCCUGUGUUGUGGCGUCUCCUGUUUCCCCAGUCUAACCUGUAAUGCUAAUAACCCCUGGCUUCACUUCGCCCUCACAUCUCCUUCUGGGCACCAGCGGAGGACUUCCUUUCCUACCUAUACCUGGCUGUUACACAAAUGAAACCACCAAUGCACUUCGGGAGCCUUUUAGAUAGGUCACUGGAGGGGUACUCUGACUGUCAUGCCUGACACCACCUCAGCAGGAAGAAGACAGAUCCAUCAUCACCUCAUUUCCACAAUGGUCAGUAUUGGAUCCAAGAAUGAGACCACCUUAGGGAGGCAAGCUGCUGCUUGUUAGUUGGAAAGGGAGGUCUCUAAAAAUCAAAGGGAGGUCUGGUUUCCAUGCUACUGGCCUCGGCUCUCCCUAAGGAAGGUGUUCAUACAUAAUUACACAGAAGGGGACAGGGAGAAGGCAAAAAGAUGCCUUACAACCAGAAAUGUGUGUGUGCUGGAGAAGUACAACUGAAAGCCAGACGCAGCAGCCAAGAAAACCUGCUCCAUAUUUGUGUGUGACAAAGCCGGCUUCCUUUUAGAAAUAGCAACGUAUCCAAGUUCACCAAGCAAAAGCAAGCAAAGAAGUAACCACACAGUCCUGAGUAGAGCAUUAAGCAAGCUUAACCUACACGCGCGGAGUGGCCCUCGGCUGGGCCCAGGAUUCCGGCGCCGGAGGCGGCAGGUAGCUAGAGAAGAACCAGCCUCACCCCCGGGGCAGGCCGCGAAGUUGCAGUCGCCUUUACCUGGAC